rnacentral:rRNA from 1 species
AAUUGAAGAGUUUGAUCAUGGCUCAGAUUGAACGCUGGCGGCAGGCCUAACACAUGCAAGUCGAACGGUAACAGGAAGCAGCUUGCUGCUUUGCUGACGAGUGGCGGACGGGUGAGUAAUGUCUGGGAAACUGCCUGAUGGAGGGGGAUAACUACUGGAAACGGUGGCUAAUACCGCAUAACGUCGCAAGACCAAAGAGGGGGACCUUCGGGCCUCUUGCCAUCAGAUGUGCCCAGAUGGGAUUAGCUUGUUGGUGAGGUAACGGCUCACCAAGGCGACGAUCCCUAGCUGGUCUGAGAGGAUGACCAGCCACACUGGAACUGAGACACGGUCCAGACUCCUACGGGAGGCAGCAGUGGGGAAUAUUGCACAAUGGGCGCAAGCCUGAUGCAGCCAUGCCGCGUGUAUGAAGAAGGCCUUCGGGUUGUAAAGUACUUUCAGCGGGGAGGAAGGUGUUGCGGUUAAUAACCGCAGCAAUUGACGUUACCCGCAGAAGAAGCACCGGCUAACUCCGUGCCAGCAGCCGCGGUAAUACGGAGGGUGCAAGCGUUAAUCGGAAUUACU